rnacentral:rRNA from 1 species
AUUGAACGCUGGCGGGAUGCCUAACACAUGCAAGUCGAACGAGUGGCGGACGGGUGAGUAAUGUCUGGGAAACUGCCUGAUGGAGGACGAUAACUACUGGAAACGGUAGCUAAUACCGCAUACCAUCAGAUGUGCCCAGAUGGGAUUAGCUUGUUGGUGGGGUAACGGCUCACCAAGGCGACGAUCCCUAGCUGGUCUGAGAGGAGGACCAGCCACACUGGAACUGAGACACGGCCCAGACUCCUACGGGAGGCAGCAGUGGGGAAUAUUGCACAAUGGGGGAAACCCUGAUGCAGCCAUGCCGCGUGUAUGAAGAAGGCCUUCGGGUUGUAAAGCACUUUCGGCGGGGAGGCGUUACCUGCAGAAGAAGCACCGGCUAACUCCGUGCCAGCAGCCGCGGUAAUUC